CGACAUUCAGCGUUUAAAUACUUCGCCACUGCAACGUUGCUGUCUCUUUUGAAAUCGUCUGGCAGUCUGGGCUGUCGCAUGCGUGUUAGUCCCCGGGAAGUGUGAUUCAACUUGUUUAGAGUGGUCAGUAAAAUACAAGAAUACAGUCCUAAUUGUUCAAACAGCACGGUAGUUGAGCUGUAGUUUGUGACUUUAGUUCAAACGUGGUCUCUGCUAGCGUAAAGUGUUAACGUUAGCGUUGUCGUGACGGGCCUCAAGCAGCCACGUGGAUCCUGCGUGAAGCCCACUCAAAGAUGGACAAGAUGAAGACAAAGUGGAUGUCCCUCUGGGCAGGUGUUGCACUUGAUAUAUGGGGUGUGUUGAUGUCCCUGCAAGACUGGUCAGAAGAAUGGGUCUCGUCAAGAUGGAGACUUGUGAGCUGCCAUAGGAGGUUAUGCUUCAUAUGGUCCUAACAGUGAACUGAAGAUGAUUCAUUUCAAGCAGCUGAAAAGACUUGUGAGCUGCAAAAGAGAGAUGUCUCCAUGCAGCGCUUCGUAUGCUCCAACUAAACCAGCUGACUGAAGAUGUUGAUUUCGUGCAGGUUGGCCUGGUGGCAUAAGAUUUCUCCUGAAAGAAAGGGACUCGUGGGCUACACCUUUUGAGACGGGCCUUGUGUCAUUCUGCCAGUCUGCUGCAGUCCCCUGAAGUCUGUUUGAAUUGACAGAAUUGGAUCAAGUGGUUGCGGCAACUGUCGGUAUACCUGCAAGCUACAUGUGAUGACAAGAUGACUCAUGGACACUGGUCUCAAGAUGGAUGUCAACAUGUUUGUUGAAAAGUAGUUUACAAUGUAGACUGGUUAAUGUUAAGAUUGCAAUAAAGUGUCUAAGCAGCCUGAUAACUGAAA